GCCUGGUCCAAGGGUAGUGAGUUAUCUCAAUUGUUCCCAAUCAGAGACCAAAUUCCUUGUUCUGUUCUCCUCCCCCCUCCCAUCUUACUUCUGCAUAUGACUAUUCC
ensembl:misc_RNA Y_RNA Y RNA